rfam:Schistosoma mattheei strain Denwood, Zambia genome assembly, scaffold: SMTD_scaffold0002651
AUCUAACUGACGAGUUCCAAAUAAAACGGAAUGCACAUCCUAGAU